GCGGAUAUAGUUUAGUGGUAAAAGCGGAUAUAGUUUAGUGGUAAAAGUGCGAUUCGUUCUAUUAAUCCCUUAAUAGUUAAGGGAUCCUUCGGGUUGAUUAAUAUUCCGAUCAAAAACUUUAUUUCUUAAAAGGAUUUAAUCCUUUACCUCUCGAUGAAAGAUUCGAGGAAAAAUAAAAAUUCUCGUGAUUUGUAUCCAAAAAUCUGUUCUAAAUUGACAAAAUUGGAUCAUGAAAUUACGAAACAUAAUUUUAUUGAAUUGGAUCAAUACUUCCAAUUGAAGGAAUAAGAGAUCCAUGGAUAAAGGUGGAAUUUUUUCUAAUCGUAACUAAAUCUUCAAUUUUUUCUUUGUAUAAAGGAGAUUGAAGCAAAACAAAAUAGCUAUUAAACAAUUUCUUUGGUUUACUAGAGACGUCGACAUCGUUUUUUAGCUCGGCGGAAACAAACUACUUUUCCUAAGGAUUAUAUUAAAUAGAAAUAGGGAACGAAAAUAAUACUGGAAAGAUUGUUAUAAUCUCCUCUUGUAUAGGGAUCAUCUAUAAAGCGGGUUCUUUUGAAUCAUUCAGACGGAAAGGCUGACAUAGAUGUUAUGGAUGGCAUUUUUUUUGUUUACAUCUUCAAUUUUUGAAUUUAUCCAUCUUCCAUAAAGGAGCCGAAUGAAACCAAAGUUUCACGUUCGGUUUUGAAUUAGAGACGUUCAGUUCAAAAUGAUGAAUCAACGUCGACUAUAACCCCUAGCCUUCCAAGCUAACGAUGCGGGUUCGAUUCCCGCUAUCCGCUCCCUAGCCUUCCAAGCUAACGAUGCGGGUUCGAUUCCCGCUAUCCGCU